rnacentral:tRNA from 1 species
CGACGGGCCAGUACGGUGUACCGCGCCGCGGGCGCGCGGACAAGCGCCCGAGCGCGUUCCUUCACGCCCCGUCGGC